GACGAACGCUGGCUACAGGCUUAACACAUGCAAGUCGAGGGGAAACGACGGGGAAGCUUGCUUCCCCGGGCGUCGACCGGCGCACGGGUGAGUAACGCGUAUCCAACCUGCCUCUGACUGAGGGAUAACCCGUCGAAAGUCGGCCUAAUACCUCAUGGUAUCGUCUGCGGGCAUCCAACGACGAUUAAAGAUUUCAUCGGUCAGGGAUGGGGAUGCGUCUGAUUAGCUUGUUGGCGGGGUAACGGCCCACCAAGGCUACGAUCAGUAGGGGUUCUGAGAGGAAGGUCCCCCACAUUGGAACUGAGACACGGUCCAAACUCCUACGGGAGGCAGCAGUGAGGAAUAUUGGUCAAUGGGCGAGAGCCUGAACCAGCCAAGUAGCGUGCAGGAAGACGGCCCUAUGGGUUGUAAACUGCUUUUAUGCGGGGAUAAAGUGAGGGACGUGUCCCUCAUUGCAGGUACCGCAUGAAUAAGGACCGGCUAAUUCCGUG
rnacentral:rRNA from 1 species